AUGGCCCACAUAUCAGAUAUUAAACUGAUAAGAACAGAUACUACACUUGAUCUUAGCCAAAAGGCCGAGAAAGGUAUGAGUUGUGCUGUGCAGCCACGCGUCGUUAUAUAG
rnacentral:rRNA from 1 species